rnacentral:rRNA from 1 species
ACGCUGGCGGCAGGCCUAACACAUGCAAGUCGAGCGGUAGCACAGGAGAGCUUGCUCUCUGGGUGACGAGCGGCGGACGGGUGAGUAAUGUCUGGGAAACUGCCUGAUGGAGGGGGAUAACUACUGGAAACGGUAGCUAAUACCGCAUGACCUCGCAAGAGCAAAGUGGGGGACCUUCGGGCCUCACGCCAUCGGAUGUGCCCAGAUGGGAUUAGCUAGUAGGUGGGGUAAUGGCUCACCUAGGCGACGAUCCCUAGCUGGUCUGAGAGGAUGACCAGCCACACUGGAACUGAGACACGGUCCAGACUCCUACGGGAGGCAGCAGUGGGGAAUAUUGCACAAUGGGCGCAAGCCUGAUGCAGCCAUGCCGCGUGUGUGAAGAAGGCCUUAGGGUUGUAAAGCACUUUCAGCGAGGAGGAAGGCGUUGUAGUUAAUAGCUGCAGCGAUUGACGUUACUCGCAGAAGAAGCACCGGCUAACUCCGUGCCAGCAGCCGCGGUAAUACGGAGGGUGCAAGCGUUAAUCGGAAUUACUGGGCGUAAAGCGCACGCAGGCGGUUUGUUAAGUCAGAUGUGAAAUCCCCGAGCUUAACUUGGGAACUGCAUUUGAAACUGGCAAGCUAGAGUCUUGUAGAGGGGGGUAGAAUUCCAGGUGUAGCGGUGAAAUGCGUAGAGAUCUGGAGGAAUACCGGUGGCGAAGGCGGCUGACUGGACAUGUAUUGACGCUGAGGUGCGAAAGCGUGGGGAGCAAAC